CUUGGGGCCGACACCAUGAGCAGCUCAGAAAGGUCCGGGUACAUGCGGUCUUCUUGCAACUGUCGAUCGAUAAGCCUCCCCGCGUUUUCCAAAGCUUCCUGCAGGGAGGCGGCGGCCGACGUAGAGGCCACCAUCAUAGAGCCCAGCACCGAUGGCAUGUCGGCAAUCGUGGCCACCGCCUUAUAGAAACACUCCAAACCCGUGGAGAACCGUGAGAAAAACGAAGAGAGCCCAAAACCGCUCCUCGGAACGCGCGCGGAAAACGAAUAACUGGGCGCCAGGUCAUGACGCACUUCCGGUUCGUCCUCCCCGGCACUGGAAGACGCCGCUUCUGGGACGGGAAGAGGAAGCAACACCAGGCAUGCUCACGGUACAGACACAACACUUGUUGCUCUUCCAGAGGACCUUGGCUUGCUUCCCAGCACCCCCAUGGAGACUCCCAAGCACCUGUAAUUCCAGUCCCAGGAGAUCCAGUGCCAUCUGCCAGAAUUUAAGGGUCGCAAGCAUACAUCUGGUGCCC
rnacentral:lncRNA from 1 species